UACGUAGGGUCCAAGCGUUAUCCGGAAUCACUGGGCGUAAAGCGUGCGUAGGUGGCGUGUUAAGUGUGAUGUUAAAUCGUGUGGCUCAACCAUAUCGAUGUGUCGCAUACUGGCACGCUAGAGGACAGCAGAGGCAAGUGGAAUUAGUAGUGUAGCAGUGAAAUGCGUAGAUAUUACUAGGAACACCAAUGGCGAAGGCAGCUUGCUGGGCUACUCCUGACACUGAGGUACGAAAGCGUGGGGAGCGAACAGG
rnacentral:rRNA from 1 species